GGAAAAUACUGAAGCAGCAAGACUAGCACAUAUGGAAUGUAAAUACACUACAGAAGUCAUGCAGUUAAGAAUUCGAGAACUUGAAGAUGCUUUGAAUGAAGAGCAAGGCAGCAGGAGAGAAGCUGUUCCAGUGGUAGCAAAGAAAGAUUUCCGAGAGUCAGAAAAUUCACAUGAGAGAGGGGAAAAAGUUUUACAAAGACAGCAUGCAUCCUCAAAUGCAAUGGAGAGAGGGGGCUGAGGAAAGGAAGGACACUGAAGAACCCUCUGGGAGGUUAGUGAAUGCUGCAACCAGCUUCAGCCUGCAUGA